rnacentral:rRNA from 1 species
AGCGGCAAACGGCGUAGUAAGGUGUAGGAACGUACCCUGAGGUCGAGGAUAGCCAAGGGAAACUUUGGGUAAUACUCGAUGAUCUCGUAAGAGCAAAGAUUUAUCGCCUUGGGAGCGGCCUGCAUGGUAUUAGCUAGUUGGUGAGGUAAUGGCUCACCAAGGCUACGAUGCCUAGGGGGUGUGAGAGCACGAUCCCCACGACUGGGACUGAGAUACUGCCCAGACACCUACGGGUGGCUGCAGUCGAGAAUCUUCGGCAAUGGGCGCAAGCCUGACCGAGCGACGCCGCGUGUGGGAUGAAGGCCCUUGGGUUGUAAACCACUGUCAGAGGGGAUGAAGCCGCAAGGUUGACAUAGCCUCAGAGGAAGCACGGGCUAAGUUCGUGCCAGCAGCCGCGGUAAUACGAACUGUGCAAACGUUAUUCGGAAUCACUGGGCUUAAAGGGUGCGUAGGCGGUCGUUUAAGUAGGGUGUGAAAGCCCGCAGCUCAACUGUGGAACUGCAUUCUAAACUGGACGACUCGAGUGGGAUAGGGGUGUGUGGAACUUCCGGUGGAGCGGUGAAAUGUGUUGAUAUCGGAAGGAACGCCGGUAGCGAAAGCGACACACUGGGUCUCAACUGACGCUGAGGCACGAAAGCCAGGGGAGCGAACGGGAUUAGAUACCCCGGUAGUCCUGGCCCUAAACGAUGAGGACUGAU